GUUUCGGGGCGGAGUGAAAUUCUCCACCGGCGGUGAAAGUCCGCGAGCGUUACGCUGAACCGGUGAGAUUCCGGUACCGACGGUAUAGUCCGGAUGAAAGAAU
rnacentral:ncRNA from 1 species